UACGUAGGGUGCGAACGUUAAUCGGAAUUACUGGGCGUAAAGCGUGCGCAGGCGGUUUUGUAAGUCAGAUGUGAAAUCCCCGGGCUUAACCUGGGAACUGCGUUUGAAACUACAAGGCUAGAGUGUAGCAGAGGGGGGUGGAAUUCCACGUGUAGCAGUGAAAUGCGUAGAGAUGUGGAGGAACACCGAUGGCGAAGGCAGCCCCCUGGGUUAACACUGACGCUCAGGCACGAAAGCGUGGGGAGCAAACAGG
rnacentral:rRNA from 1 species